AUCUGAAAGAAAAAGAUGAACAGGACCUUUGCAUCAAAUUUCCUGAUAGUUUUCUGUCUGGGAUGCCAAGAGGAGGAAUGGGACAGUAUUUUUUAAUUAUGAGAAUGUUCAUUUUUGGCCUGGGCUGUGCCACAUACACCUUACACGCUACAACCGGGAUCAGGUACUAAGUCGAAAAAAGCUUCAAGCAGGACUCAGUAAGAUGAGCAAGGGGUUAGCCUGAAGUUGGGAAGGGGCAUACUGGGGAGAGAAGGUGAUUUACUUUGUCUCUGCUUCCUCAGACUUCUGCUUCCUUUGUGGCUGGGUUUGUCUUCUGGGUGGCACCCAUGAAACAGGUACAGAAGGGCAACCAGGAACAGGCUCACUCCAACUAAAGCAGGGUCCCUGUGGAGAAAAGCUGUCUGAGCAGGAGAGCUCCAGCAGCAGUGGCAGAAGCGUGGGGCUGCCAGGAAUUGUUGGUGGCUGAGCCUGGCAUUAGAGAGCACGUAGCAAGGAGCUCCCCGAGCCACACAGCCAGACAAAUCCUUCCCCGCUGCAAACUCACUGUGCUGUUCAAGAUAUGCAAGUGCUGUAAACACCAGCAGGCAGCUACCAAACCAUCACAAGCCAUGAGAGCCAGCAGGAGCACUCUGUGCCAGGCACAUCAAACAGUUACUUCCAUCCAUCCACAACAGUUUUCUAUGAAGUUUACAUUUCCAUCUUCAUCAACACAUUUUCCAAAGAUGUGCAUUUCAUAUGAGGUGAGUUCUGCCUUGUCAAAGAUCUCAUGCUCACUGAUUCCAGCCUGUCUCAAUAUAUACUCAGAUGUGUAUUUAUUUCAUUUAACCUUAAAGCAAAGCAGCUCAGCUUUGUUGUGUAGACGAUCCUUAUAUUUUCUGGGUUUCGAGAAUUUGUAUACAGAUAAACAACAUUCAGGAUCUGACAUUUCACUUUGAUUGCAAGUUGCUGUAAUUAAGAACCAAAGCUUUAUGAAUUUUAAUCAUCAGCUGUAAGUGGUACAUUAUCUCUAGUUCACAAUGAAAGCAAUCAAGUGGACAAGAUAUUUUUAGAGACAUUACUGUGGUAAUAUUACAUUAAGUAGUGGUUAGUACACUAUUUUCACACCCAGUGAUUUCACACAUUAAUGCGGCUAUAGAUCAGCGUUAAUGACAAGAGAAAGUUAUUUUUCAAGUAGCAUGAGAAGGGUGGUUAAAAGAGCUGCUGGGGAUUUACACUCCAGCAGCAGGAGGGGCACCUCAGCAGGGGCUGCAGCUGAAGAUGCUCCAGCAGCAGGGGCUGCUUCCACUUCUGCUGGAGACAGAGGCAGGAGCUCCUGAAUGGAUACAGGUUAAUGGCAGGGGCAGCAUUUCCUCUCUGCUCCUCGAGAGGGAAGAAAGGACAGGAGGGGAGAGCAAGGUAAAGUACACCGGUGCUGGCAGUGAAUCUCAGAGCUGGUGAGAGGAAUAACACACCACAUCUUGCCCAAGGCUGCAAGACAGCAUUUUCCCCCUUUCAAAGAAGGCACAGUAAAGAACAAAUCAGAAACACCCUAAGGCUUAAAGGUAAAAACAAAAAAAACCCCAACAGGGAGUCUGGCACACUUUAAAGUUUCAGUGUAUGCUACUCCACGUGGAUACAAUGUUGUCUAGAUAAAUCUGUAAAUACAGAUAUCUCUUCUUUCAAGGCAGGAGAGACUAAUGCACAAUGCACAGGGCUCCAAAAAGAGCACAUUUAAGUAUUAUCGUCCUGCUGAACGAUGCCAGUUCAUCCAAAAAUUAUUUGCCUGAAACUAAAACUAAUUAGAAACACUGUUCUGGGAAGGAGAAAUUCUUCCUUCUUCCUGGAGUCUCAGAUCUGGGAUAAUAGAAGCUCCAGCAGCCUCACCCCAGACCUGCAGGCCAUUUUAUUUUACUGCAGAGGUCCUGUGGGGAUGGCAGGGCUGGGAUUUGGAGAGCUCAGCAGCCAGCUGUGCCAGGGAGAGAGAACGCCACAGAGAGCUGGCUGUGUGUCACAGUGGCAGACAGCUGUUGUUCACUG
rnacentral:lncRNA from 1 species